UGCUUAAAAAGAUUUUUCUAA
rnacentral:piRNA from 1 species